GGGCUUCUGCCGCUCUGUUAUAAAGUUCUGUAGCCCCGAUCGUUUCGGGGAGUCAGGCUGACGGGCCGGCGAGGAAGGCCGAGGGGCAGGCUGACGAGGUGGGCCGGCCGACGGUCGACUGGUUGACGUGGCUGAUCGGCUGACGGCUGACGUCAGGCUGGGCCGUAGCUGUUCUGGGGCUGCUCUGCCGGUAUGGUGCCUGUUCUGUUGGCAUGGCGCUGUGGCAGUACAUAUCACAGUGAACAGGGGACCGUGAUAAGUACUUCACUGGAUCCCCUGUUCGUACUGUACGUGGUACGGAACGAGGGUAUGGAGGUGUAUCGAAUCUACGUUUCGAUGGGAGAGGAUAUUUUCCUCUGUGUGUAGGUAGGUAGGUACCUACCUGAGUGUGCAUGUGUGUGUUCGUUCGAUCGAUCGUUCUCUCGAUCGAUCGGUAGGUAGGUAGGUAAGGGUGCCCGUUCGUACGGGUUCGUGUGUAUGCCGGUACGAGUACCGGCCGGUGAUUUCGCACGGAACACGUGUGUAUAUACCUCAGUCUACGGGUACCGUGACGGGGGUCUAUGUCGAGAUCCUCGCGAAACAUGACGGGCUACAUGUGGGGUCUAUAUAUACGAGUCUGUACGUCCUCAUCCCCAUAAUAGAGAGGCCUCUCGGGGCUUGGACCCAUUUGAUCGCGCACGAUGAGCGUAUGGGCGAGGGCCCGGAUAGUCGUCGUCAGAAUGGGAGUGUGUUUCGGGAACACCGUAGACAGCGGAGUGUGGGGGG
rnacentral:rRNA from 1 species